GGAGAAUGGCGUCUCACCCGUGGAUGUGCGGAAGGUGGUACGAUAGGACCAGAGUACCUCUGUGAGUAGUUCUGGCCAGCAGCCCUUGGCCUUGUCAAGUUUUGUCUUGAGGGUCUUCUUGAUAAUUUUGUUCACGGCCUCGUCCUGGCCAUUGGACUGAGGAUGGGCUGGGGAGGCGAAACACAGACGGAUCUUGAGGUUGGAACAAAAUUGUUUGAAUUUGGC
rnacentral:lncRNA from 1 species